UUGCGCCUACGGGGGGCAGCAGUGAGGAAUAUUGGUCAAUGGCCGGAAGGCUGAACCAGCCAAGCCGCGUGAAGGACGAAGGUGCCAAGCAUUGUAAACUUCUUUUGUCAAGGGACAAAAUCAGGCUCGAGAGCCUGACCGAGGGUACUUGAAGAAAAAGCAUCGGCUAACUCCGUGCCAGCAGCCGCGGUAAUACGGAGGAUGCGAGCGUUAUCCGGAUUUAUUGGGUUUAAAGGGUGCGUAGGCGGUUUUUUAAGUUAGUGGUUAAACGU
rnacentral:rRNA from 1 species